rnacentral:rRNA from 1 species
GAUGAACGCUGGCGGCGUGCCUAAUACAUGCCAGUCGAGCGAACAGACGAGGAGCUUGCUCCUCUGACGUUAGCGGCGGACGGGUGAGUAACACGUGGAUAACCUACCUAUAAGACUGGGAUAACUUCGGGAAACCGGAGCUAAUACCGGAUAAUAUAUUGAACCGCAUGGUUCAAUAGUGAAAGACGGUUUUGCUGUCACUUAUAGAUGGAUCCGCGCCGCAUUAGCUAGUUGGUAAGGUAACGGCUUACCAAGGCAACGAUGCGUAGCCGACCUGAGAGGGUGAACGGCCACACUGGAACUGAGACACGGUCCAGACUCCUACGGGAGGCAGCAGUAGGGAAUCUUCCGCAAUGGGCGAAAGCCUGACGGAGCAACGCCGCGGGAAUGAUGAAGGGCUUCGGAUCGUAAAACUCUGUUAUUAGGGAAGAACAAAUGUGUAAGUAACUAUGCACGUCUUGACGGUACCUUAUCAGAAAGGCACGGCUAACUACGUG